GAAAAGUUUAAUUUUAACUUAUUUGUUUAGUUAAUUGUUAUGUUACAUGUAAUAUUUUUUAAAAAGAAAUUUUUCAGUAAUUAUUUUUAUUAAAUUAAUAAUUUAAUUUUAGUAAUUAAUUAUAGGUCUAAUAAAAUUUGUGCCAGCAAUUGCGGUUAAACAAAUAGAUCAAUUAAAUAUUUUUAGUUAUAAUAAUUUAUCUUUUUAUUUUUUAUUAAAAUUUUAAGGUGAAAUUUAAAUUUUAAUAAUUUUAUUUAAAAUAAUGAUUUAAUAAAAUUAUAUAAAAAACUAGGAUUAGAUACCCUAUUAUUUUUAAUUGUAAAAUUAAAUUCUUGAUUAGUAUUAGUUAUGUUCUUUAAAAUUAAAAAAUUUGGCGGUAUUUUAAUCAGUUCAGAGGAACCUGUUCUAUAAUUGAUAGUCCACGAUAUUUUUGACUUAUUCUUUAAGUUUGUAUAUCGUUGUUAAUGAAUUUCUUUUUAGGGAAAAUUUUCUUUUAUUUUUAUAUUAAUAGAUUUCAGAUCAAGGUGCAGCUUAUGGAUAAGAAGAAAUGGGUUACAAUAAAAAUAUUUUUGGUUAUUAAAUUUAAAUUUUUAAUAUAAAUUGGAUUUGAUAGUAAUUAUAUUAAUUUAAUUUUAAUGAUUAUUGUUCUAAAAUAUGUACAUAUUGCCCGUCACUCUCAAUAAAUUUGAGAAAAGUCGUAACAAAGUAGAUGUACUGGAAAGUGUAUCUAGAAUA
rnacentral:ncRNA from 1 species